UGAGUAUCCAGUUUUUAAAUCCAUCUCGUACAAAUCUGAAUUAGACAUUUGCCCCAGGAAAGUGCCUACAAAACUUACAAUAAAUUGCAUAUUUUGCUUUACUAUACUCAAUCCACACGAACUGGUCAUACCACCUCGAAGAGAAGCAGCGUGAUUUGCCAUUUAUCAUACUUGAAGGGAACUUUACUAGCUUUGGUUGACAGGCUGGUUCAUCAACCGCAGACAAAUCUAUCCGUAGACCUACUGCAGGUUCACCCCCGCCCGCAGCAUCAAGAACGAGAGGAGACGGUGGGGUAGGCAAGCAUGCCUGACUCAACGUGGCAUUAGCGGUUGGUCUCAUUCUGGAAGCUAUUGCCCUAGCCACAAGUGAGCCCAGACACAUAGAGCCACCAGAGACACCCCAACCUGCCCAGGAUAUUGAAGGAACCUUGAGACAGAUCAUUCAGAUGAACAGUCGGGAGAGGAAAGAACUACAGAGCACAAAGACAAGAAAGGAAAGGGGAGAUACGUAGUCAGUUGUACAACUGAAUGCAUUCAACUGAAAUGUGUCUUCCRCAUUUAACCCAACCCCUCUGAAUC